rnacentral:lncRNA from 1 species
GUUUUAAAGGGCCCUGUGUACUGCUUUGGUGAGUCAGUGCCAUUGGGACUGACUGAGCAGAACUCAGAAGUUGGCUGGAAAAUAUCGAGUGACCUGAAAAAGAUCGCACACUGUCCUCCUAAGAGACGGUUUUCACCUCACAGUGCCAUCUAGGCCCUUGGAGCCUGUGCAUGUCUGAGAAGGGCCUGAGCGUGGGCAGGUACGGAACAGCUUCCUGGGUCGGUCGUGUUCCGAACCUGCAGGAGGGAAGCAGUGUCGCGUAGACAUGGAGGCGCCUGGAUCUUCAGUGCUCCCCUCCUGUUGGUGCAGCCGGAUCAGUACCAGAGGGAGCAGGCACAGUCUGUGACAGGAAGGUGAACAGUAAGGAAAUUGGACUAAGAGCUCUAGGAAUAUUACUAAGAAAGGACAAAGGUCUACCAGAAAAACAAGCAGGAAACCUGGGUGACCCUAAGUCUACA